UACAGAGGUCUCAAGCGUUGUUCGGAUUCAUUGGGCGUAAAGGGUGCGUAGGCGGCGCGGUAAGUCGGGUGUGAAAUCUCGGAGAUUAACUCCGAAACUGCAUUCGAUACUGCCGUGCUUGAGGACUGGAGAGGAGACUGGAAUUUACGGUGUAGCGGUGAAAUGCGUAGAUAUCGUAAGGAAGACCAGUGGCGAAGGCGGGUCUCUGGACAGUUCCUGACGCUGAGGCACGAAGGUCAGGGGAGCAAACGGG
rnacentral:rRNA from 1 species